ACCCGCACCCUUUUAUAACCACGUGUUUCGUAAAAGCACACUUUUUGUAAAUGCUUUAUAUAUUCACAAGACGUGUAUGAUCGGGUCUGUUCUUGCAGGUGACUACCCACAUACACAUACACACCACCCCCGGGGAUUUACAUUGGAUUUCUACAUUACACAACAAAUCCACGAUCGUGAUGCUCCAGAUUUGCUUUAAUCUCGAUUUGAUAAAUACAUCAGAGGAGUGGUGACGUUUUUAACCUUUAUCUCGUGAUUCAUCUCUCUUCUCGCUGCCACACGCAGACACUACUAGAGAUCAGAGAUGUCCCAAACACACAUGCACACACUUUUAGGUUUCAAAUGGAGGGAUGAAAUGCUUUAAUCUGCAGGAAGAGAAUGAAGCAUCUCAAACUAUGUGCUUCCUAAGAGACUUUAAAAGCUAAAAAUGGCAAAGCAAUGCAGCAACAUAAUUAUUUGCUGCAUUUUGGUGAUCUGAGCUCUUGUUUUAGAAAGAUGCGGUAACCCCUUUCGGCUCCUUCUCCUGUGUAGUAUUGUUACACCUACCUUUCUCCAGGUCUGUGAUUCUCUGGUGCAGCGACGUGAGGGUGGACUCAACUCUCCCACGCUGCUCUGUCUCAUUCCGGAGUCCAGGUUUCCCCUCCUCGAUGCUGUUCACUCGGGACAACACCUGCUUCUCCAAGUCGUCGAUUUUGCUUUGGAGCAGGUCUUUGAGGCUGUUGGCCUGCACCGAGUUGUUACUUCGACUGAAUUGCUGUCCAAGGGGACAAAAGAUCAGGAAGCUUUCCCGGACAUGAGCGAGCGAAAAGUGGACCUUUGACACUGAACAACGUGUCAACAACCAGGAGCAAGCCCAUGUUCUACUGAUCGAUGGAGAGAAGUUUCAAUGCAGCAAUCAAUGAGUGUAUGUUAAAGACGUGACCAUGCGAGGCAGAUGGACUCACAGAACUACGGGCUUCUUACCUCCCGAGUCCAUCUCACCAUCCCAGUUUAAACUGAUACGACUGUGGCC